rnacentral:rRNA from 1 species
CCUACGGGAGGCUGCAGUGGGGAAUAUUGGACAAUGGGGGGAACCCUGAUCCAGCCAUGCCGCGUGUGUGAAGAAGGCCCUCGGGUUGUAAAGCACUUUCAGUGAGGAAGAACGCCUGGUGGUUAAUACCCAUCAGGAAAGACAUCACUCACAGAAGAAGCACCGGCUAACUCCGUGCCAGCAGCCGCGGUAAUACGGAGGGUGCGAGCGUUAAUCGGAAUUACUGGGCGUAAAGCGCGCGUAGGUGGCUUGAUAAGCCGGUUGUGAAAGCCCCGGGCUCAACCUGGGAACGGCAUCCGGAACUGUCAAGCUAGAGUGCAGGAGAGGAAGGUAGAAUUCCCGGUGUAGCGGUGAAAUGCGUAGAGAUCGGGAGGAAGACCAGUGGCGAAGGCGGCCUUCUGGACUGACACUGACACUGAGGUGCGAAAGCGUGGGUAGCAAACAGGAUUAGAUACCCCAGUAGUC